UCUGUUUACUGGGGAGGCUCAGGCGUGCAUGGCUGGUGAUGGUGGAUCUCGUUGGCUGCGAGGGGUUUGGGGAGGUGGAAAAUCAGGGAGGAUCCCAAGGAAGAAGAUUGGCGGCGGGGUGGAAUAGAGGAUGGGACAGCCGUCCUAAAAUUUAGGAUUUUCUUUGUUUUGGUAAAGGUUGGAACAAAGUGAGACUAGCUUUGGACCCUCCAAUUUUGAUUGGAUGGUCGAUAAAAAAAUAGGAUAGGAG
rnacentral:lncRNA from 1 species